rnacentral:lncRNA from 1 species
AGCAGGGAGGGACCGGUUCCCGAACGUGGUCCCAGCGAGAAAUGCCGAAAUUUGGCUAAAUCCUGAAAAAUCGAGCUCUCGGGGACCGGUCUCUCAGGCGAGGACCGGUCUCCCGGGGAGAGACCGGUUCCCGAACGCGUGCGCCCGAGGGAGGCUCUCGGGGACCGGUCCCAAGUCGGGGAGACCGGUCCCUCCGCGCGAAAGCUGCCCAG